GGCACCACAACGGGUGGAGCCUGCGGUUUAAUUGGACUCAACGCCGGGCAGCUCACCGGAUAAGACAGCUGGAUGAUAGCCGGGCUGAAGACUCUGCUUGACUAGCUGAGAGGAGGUGCAUGGCCGUCGUCAGUUCGUACUGUGAAGCAUCCUGUUAAGUCAGGCAACGAGCGAGACCCACGCCAACAGUUGCCAGCGUGUCCUCCGGGAUGAUGGGGACACUGUUGGGACCGCCUCUGCUAAAGAGGAGGAAGGAAUGGGCAACGGUAGGUCAGCAUGCCCCGAAUUAUCCGGGCUACACGCGGGCUACAAUGGUCAGGACAAUGGGUAUCGACACCGAGAGGUGGAGGCAAUCUCCUAAACCUGUCCUUAGUUCGGAUUGUGGGCUGCAACUCGCCCACAUGAAGCUGGAAUCCGUAGUAAUCGCGUUUCAAAAUAGCGCGGUGAAUAUGUCCCUGCUCCUU
rnacentral:rRNA from 1 species